UAGAAGUAUUGAAAAGGGAUGCAGA
rnacentral:piRNA from 1 species